AAGAAUGUGACCCUUAGAGGACCUCCAUAGAGGAAUGUGCUUUAGGGGUUUCGGAAGCAUCCCUCAAGGACCCUGUUCCAGGUCUCCUUUUGUCUUUGAAGAGCCAUGUUGACUCUGCAGAUACUUAUGGGAACCAUGAGCCUUGCACUGUGCUCCAGACCAAGGAUUACCUAAACACAGUCCUAUUAAGAAGUGAAAUAUGAAUAUGUAUCUGGAGGAUCAGAAUAAAUGGGAGGAAACAGGUGAGCAAUAUCUGUACUGUGUGCUGCGUGGUAGAGUGGGUGCAUCUGAGGAUGUCACAGAAGCACAUGGAAGACCCCCUUAGUCAGCUUGGGAGGUGGAGUCCUUGCGGAAGGUCA